UUUGGGGGGGUGCCUAAUACAUGCAAGUCGAGCGGACAGAAGGGAGCUUGCUCCCGGAUGUUAGCGGCGGACGGGUGAGUAACACGUGGGUAACCUGCCUGUAAGACUGGGAUAACUCCGGGAAACCGGAGCUAAUACCGGAUAGUUCCUUGAACCGCAUGGUUCAAGGAUGAAAGACGGUUUCGGCUGUCACUUACAGAUGGACCCGCGGCGCAUUAGCUAGUUGGUGAGGUAACGGCUCACCAAGGCGACGAUGCGUAGCCGACCUGAGAGGGUGAUCGGCCACACUGGGACUGAGACACGGUCCAGACUCCUACGGGA
rnacentral:rRNA from 1 species